GACGAACGCUGGCGGCGUGCUUAACACAUGCAAGUCGAACGGAGCACCCUUGAAGGAGUUUUCGGACAACGGAUAGGAAUGCUUAGUGGCGGACUGGUGAGUAACGCGUGAGGAACCUGCCUUCCAGAGGGGGACAACAGUUGGAAACGACUGCUAAUACCGCAUGAUGCGUUGGAGCCGCAUGACUCCGACGUCAAAGAUUUAUCGCUGGAAGAUGGCCUCGCGUCUGAUUAGCUAGUUGGUGAGGUAACGGCCCACCAAGGCGACGAUCAGUAGCCGGACUGAGAGGUUGGCCGGCCACAUUGGGACUGAGAUACGGCCCAG
rnacentral:rRNA from 1 species